CGGGUGAGUAAUACAUCGGAACGUGCCCGACUCGUGGGGGAGUAACGAGGCGAAAGCUUUGCUAAUACCGCAUACGAUCUACGGAUGAAAGCGGGGGAGUCUUCGGACCUCGCGCGGACGGAGCGGCCGAUGGCAGAUUAGGUAGUUGGUGGGAUAAAAGCUUACCAAGCCGACGAUCUGUAGCUGGUCUGAGAGGAUGAUCAGCCACACUGGGACUGAGACACGGCCCAG
rnacentral:rRNA from 1 species